CGCGGAUAUAAAGGAGUUUGCUGAUGCUGUGGCGCUCGAUAAACAAUCCAUAUUCCCGGUGAGUGCGCUGUUCAUCACUGAGCAAAUUCCUCUCGUCCAGAAGUUGCAGAAUUCUAGCUUGUCUGUGUAUGUUUACGUGCUUCGGAAUGAGUUUCUAUCCCAGCCAUGGGACUUCUUCUCGGACCCACUCGUGCAGAUAAAUUCGUACGUUCAGGGAGCACUGGUGGAUGGGGUUAUUACCGAUUUUCCAGGGACAGCGAAAGCAUACAAAAGCAACACUUGCUCGAACUUGGGCAAUAGCACGCCGCCCUACAUGCUCCCCGUCCAACCUGGUGGCCUGUUGCAGCUCAUUUCUCCACUGUCGCAGCCCCCAGCGCUGGCUCCAAUGCCAGUCCUCGACGGUGCCGAUGUGGUUGAGCCGCCUCUUCCUUCAGCAUUGACGCCGCCUAGUCCACCGCCAGCCUCACAGCCUUCAAGCGGUCGUCGUUGCAUCCCUGUCUCCAUCGUCAUCUCUUUCGCUGCUGUACUUUUUGGAUCUCUACUUAUUUAAGAUGACUGAAGGUCAUUUGGAGUCUCUCCAGCUGAUCAAACUAUCAAUUUAGUUAUUUUGGUUCUGAGGCUAUUCUUUUCUGUAUCAUUUGUUUCUUUAGAUGAUUGUUCUACCGUCUGUUUAUUUCUGAGUUUUCUUCGGGGACACUUUUCAUGUAAAUUUGGGGAUUUUUUAUACACGAGAUUUAUG
rnacentral:misc_RNA from 1 species